GUUCUGAUCCACCAUUGACGGAGAACAAUAUUGGUGCAAUUAUCAUUGUCACAAUGAAUGUGUUAAGUGUUGCCAUAGUCACCUACACUAAAGUUGCAAUUUCAACUUGGAUGCAGAAAGAAGGAAAACGUCAUCUGCGAUGGGCAGGAAUUUCCAUGCAGUCUGGCUCGUUCUUUGGAGCUGUGAUCAUAUUUUUAUUUGUCAAUGUGUUUGAAACCUUCUCGAGAUGUUAACAUGAAGGAUUCUUCUACACAUGUGACAUCAAUGGACUAUAAAUGUCAGUCUGUUCCACACAACCUCUUUAACUGACCUCCAUACCCAAAAUUUUUUAAUAAAGAUGAAGAUAUAAGGAAAUAAACAAAAGGAGCAAAUAAUUUUACUUAGAGCUGUAUUGCUAUAAAAUAUCUAUGAUAACAGAUCCAAGGAAAUAUUUAUACAGAUUAAUCAUGACAGGUGAUAACAUUUGUCAAAGUAAGCAAUCAGAUUGUGCUCUCCAGCUGAAGAUUUAUAGAGAUAAAAUAUUAGAACUUAAAUAUAUCAUUAUGUAAAA